GUAGUCUCGCACAGAUGCAUAUCAAUAAGCGGAGGAAAAGAAACUAACAAGGAUUCCCUUAGUAACGGCGAGUGAAGCGGGAAGAGCUCAAAUUUGAAAUCUUCAAGGUUUUACCUUGACGAAUUGUAGUUUAAAGAAGUGUUUUCUGCUGAAGUUUUGGUAAAAGUUCUUUGGAAUAGGACAUCAUAGAGGGUGAGAAUCCCGUAUUUGACCAUUAUUUUCAGCUGUGUGAUACACUUUCAAAGAGUCGGAUUGUUUGGGAAUGCAGUCCAAAAUGGGUGGUAAAUUUCAUCUAAAGCUAAAUAUUGGCGAGAGACCGAUAGCGAACAAGUACCGUGAGGGAAAGAUGAAAAGAACUUUGAAAAGAGAGUUAAACAGUACGUGAAAUUGUCAAAAGGGAAGCGUUUGACACCAGUGUUGUUUUCUCGAAAAUCAAUUAAAAAGAGUUCAGAUUUUGUUGCUGUAUUGACCUUAACAGCUUGCAUUUCAAUUUUCUUGCCUUUUUUUAAUGCACUUUUCGUUUAACAAGUCAACAUCAGUUUCUUUUGUUGUAAAAAGGUCAUUGGAAGGUGGCUUUCUUUUCGGAGAAAGUGUUUAUAGCCUUUGACUCCUGCAAUCGGAGAGACUGAGGUCUGCAGCGUAGAUCCUUCGGGGUUAGAUACAUUUGUGCUAAGUUAUAGCUUUUUAUAGACAACUUGUUGACUAUGAUUAGUCUUGUAGCUUACUCGCUUAUGCUAUUUUACCUACGCUUAGGAUGUUGAGCGCAUGUCUCUCUCU
rnacentral:rRNA from 1 species